GACGAACGCUGGCGGCGUGCUUAACACAUGCAAGUCGAACGGAAAGGCCCUGCUUUUGUGGGGUGCUCGAGUGGCGAACGGGUGAGUAACACGUGAGUAACCUGCCCUUGACUUUGGGAUAACUUCAGGAAACUGGGGCUAAUACCGGAUAGGAGCUCCUGCUGCAUGGUGGGGGUUGGAAAGUUUCGGCGGUUGGGGAUGGACUCGCGGCUUAUCAGCUUGUUGGUGGGGUAGUGGCUUACCAAGGCUUUGACGGGUAGCCGGCCUGAGAGGGGGACCGGCCACAGUGGGACUGAGGGACGGCCCAGACUGCUACGGGAGGCAGCAGUGGGGAAUAUUGCACAAUGGGCGGAAGCCUGAGGCAGCAACGCCGCGUGCGUGAUGACGGCCUGCGGGUUGUAAACCGCUUUCGCCUGUGACGAAGCGUGAGUGACGGUAAUGGGUAAAGAAGCACCGGCUAACUACGUG
rnacentral:rRNA from 1 species